rnacentral:tRNA from 1 species
GACACUGUAGUGAAAGUUUCAUGUUGAGUCGCAAGCUCAUUGGUGCACGUUAAGAGUGCCGGAGUCU